rnacentral:rRNA from 1 species
UACGUAGGGUGCGAGCGUUAAUCGGAAUUACUGGGCGUAAAGCGUGCGUAGGCGGUUCGUUAAGUCAGCUGUGAAAGCCCCGGGCUCAACCUGGGAACUGCGGUUGAAACUGGCGAACUAGAAUCUGGCAGAGGGGGGUGGAAUUCCACGUGUAGCAGUGAAAUGCGUAGAGAUGUGGAGGAACACCGAUGGCGAAGGCAGCCCCCUGGGCUGAGAUUGACGCUCAGGCACGAAAGCGUGGGUAGCAAACAGG